UUCAAAAGUAUAAAAGCUAAUUGGAGUGAAAAGAAGAUUCAAGUUGUAGCCGCAUUGCUCUGCUUAAUAGUUUUUCUAUAUUCUGAAGGUAAACCCCAAGGCAAGGGCAAAUGCAAAGGCAAGGCAAAGAACAACUACGAAUUAAGUUAUGAGAAAAAUGGGUACCAUGACCAGGAAAAUCCGUGCAAAAGGUGUAAAGGCGAUAUGCACCAGUACUCCUGGUGCUUACUUGUGGAUUCCAGAAACAAGAGAAGAGG